rnacentral:rRNA from 1 species
GCUGGCGGCGUGCUUAACACAUGCAAGUCGAACGAUGAAACCUAGCUUGCUAGGUGGAUUAGUGGCGCACGGGUGAGUAAUAUAUAGGUAAUGUGCCUCUUAGUCUGGGAUAGCCAUUGGAAACGAUGAUUAAUACUGGAUACUCCUUCUAACUCUAAUGUUAGUCGGGAAAGUUUUUCGCUAAGAGAUCAGCCUAUAUCCCAUCAGUUAGUUGGUAAGGUAACGGCUUACCAAGGCAAUGACGGGUAGCGGGUUUGAGAGGAUGAUCCGCCACACUGGUACUGAGACACGGACCAGACUCCUACGGGAGGCAGCAGUGAGGAAUAUUGCACAAUGGGGGAAACCCUGAUGCAGCAACGCCGCGUGGAGGAUGACGCAUUUCGGUGUGUAAACUCCUUUUAUAUGUCAAGAAAAUGACGGUAGCAUAUGAAUAAGCACCGGCUAACUCCGUGCCAGCAGCCGCGGUAAUACGGAGGGUGCAAGCGUUACUCGGAAUCACUGGGCGUAAAGGACGCGUAGGCGGAUUGGAAAGUCAGAUGUGAAAUCCUACAGCUUAACUGUAGAACUGCAUUUGAAACUUCUAAUCUAGAGUAUGGGAGGGGGAGAUGGAAUUAGUGGUGUAGGGGUAAAAUCCGUAGAUAUCACUAGGAAUACCGAAAGCGAAGGCGAUCUCCUGGAACAUUACUGACGCUAAGGCGUGAAAGCGUGGGGAGCAAACAGGAUUAGAUACCCUGGUAGUCCACGCCCUAAACGAUGAACACUAGUCGUCGGGAUGCUUGUCAUCUCGGUGAUGCACUUAACAGAUUAAGUGUUCCGCCUGGGGAGUACGGUCGC